GUCACACACGGGUCAGGGGACCAGCCCAAGAGCAUUCACCGAGAUCACAGUACAGCCUGGCACAGCUGCCCGACAACUGUAUCAUGCGUAGUGGGGGGGAUGCACACAGCCGGUGAGUACCCACUGGGGCCUUCGUGGGAGGGGCUCAGUACGUGGUGAGAAGGGCUGGAGUGGCCAGAGGGACGCCCAAGGGCUCGGGACCCGACUCAGACCAGAGGCAAAGGCAGUCGGGGGCGCUGUAAAGAACACUCAGGCGGGGAGUCCGGGCUCUGGUUCUCAAACCGCAUCCCCUUGUCUCCUGAGGCCUCCAGGUGCUAAAGCAGGGGGCAGGGGCUCAGCUCCCGGCCCCUCACUUCAACCACAGCAGGUCCCUCUUACCUGCUGGAGCCGCUGGGAAUCUAAGAGUCUGUACUGGAUUUCAUUAGGAAAGAACGGCUCUACUAAGAAACAAACCAAGGGAACUUGGAAAUCUCUGUGCCUACAAACCAUACAGGUGUUUGUCUUUGCGAGGUUUCUUAACCUCCUUGACCCUUAUUUUCUCAUCUACCGUUCCGUACUUACAUUUUGUAGCAGGAGUUCGUGAUCCCUGCAGGAAAGAGUAGCCAUGAAGGCACCCGGAGGUUAUAACUCCCUACAGGUUGAUAAGUUUCUAGGAUGGGAAAACCCCAGACGCAGGCAACAAGUCACAAGAACGCAGCACCCAGAGGCCUUUUGACCUCAGACAUCACGCUGUCUGGAGAAAAAGCACAUGCCGUCCUACCCUCAGCCCCACCUGUCCUGCACACGGAGUGAACUUUAAUCUCCAGGCCCUGAGACAUCACACUGGGAUCAGGAAAAGACAGCUGACAUCAGGUCAUUUUCCCCCUCCCGCCCCAGAGGAGGGCAUCAUUCAAACUCUGACACCAGUAAAACUCCCAAGGAUUAAGUGAGAUCAUGUAUAUAAAGGUGCCCAGCACAGAAGCAGUUCCUGAUUAAUAUUAGUAACAGUAAUAAGGUAACUCGGCAGUCCUCCUUCCUCACCACUGCCCCACACCCCGGCUGCCAGCACCUCUGUGAACUUCCAGUGAUGCAGGGCCUGAAAUCCUCUCCCGGAGGGCAGCUGGGCAGCAGCGUGGUCAGUGGAAGGUCCGUGGACCAGAGGGUAUGAGGGCAGUCUAGCCUUGCCCCUGACCCACCAGCCUCUAGCUCUGUGACCUUGGGCAAAUCACUUAAAUCUCUUACGGCCUGGACCAUCUCCACUGAAAAAAAAGAAAAAUGGAAGCAUUUCCCUUUUUCAUCCAGAGCCCCGAAUGAUUAGUAGUGACCUGUAGAACAGUGUCACUUGGCACUCCUGGGCCACUGAGGCCAAUGCCAAGGUCUUGUCUUCCUCUGGAACCCAGCACCCCAUCUGAUCCCGUCAACCCCUAAGUAGUGGACACUUUGGGUUGCUCACUACUUUUCUCCACAUGAAGCCCCCGCCCCGCGCCCCUGCGCUUCCCCCCCCCCCCGCCCCCCUUCCCAGUGUCCACUCAGCCCAGGCCCAGGUCAGACCCACCCCCUCUUCAGCUGGAAAUCUCCUCUAUAGCCUCCCAAAGAGUAAGCCCGCUCCGCCUGCGUGACCGCAGGGCACCGGGAGCCAGCACGCUUGCCUUUUAGCUCUUUGGCCUCCGGCGAGCUAUUUACCCCCUGAAGAUAACAGUACCUGCCUCCUGGCCCCCCGGGGGGAGCCGAAAGGAGACCUAAGCACCCCAACCGCUUAGAACAGUCCCAGGCAGGCGGUUAAAUGCUCCUAAGCAUCAGCCCCGCCCCCCUUCUUUCACUAAAAGGUCAAGUCUGUUUACCUGGCUGCUCUCCUGCCCUCCCCACCCCCGUUAACCCUGCCGCAGUUUCUUCACCUCUUCAUCUAGCACUCGCUUCCCCAAAUCACUCCUAAAUCCCGGUGUGCACGUCUCUCCCCCGCAGGGCCGUCGGCUCCCGAAGGCGGGACCGCACCCGCUCCCACCCUCCUCACUGCCGGUCCCGGAGGCGGCUUGGCCGGGACCCCAGAUUAUGCCCAGAACGAGAGGAACUCGCUGCAUCCGGCUCUAGGGUUGCGGUGUCCCGGCCACAAGGGGCUUGGGGCGCGGCCUGUGGGUGGAGUUUCUCCUGUUCGGGCCCAGAAGUCUGGUUCGACUCGAUUCUAUCGCUGAGCCGGCCGCCACGGGCGGGUUACUGCACCUGAGCCUCGGUCACCGCAUCUACAAAGUGCGCGCAGCGGGAUCAGCCCCGGAAUCUGCGCUGCGGGGCGCCGAGCGCUUGCAGGCAGAGGCUGCGGGCCGCUCUCACCGUCCCGACCGUCCAGUCGGGAGGAGGGACCCCUCUGGUGCACCUAACAGAUGAACACUGCGGACCCCAAAGAGAAGCACAACACUCCUCCCCAGCCGUUUAGGAGCCUCGGUGCCCGCAGGACCUCGAGGAGACCGCGCCCUGGGCGGCUUCCCCCCCCGGACCCCGGCCGGGCCACUCCACACCCCCCGCACCGGGCUCUCGCCCACCUGCACGCCGAGGGCUGUCAUCCCGCGCCUGGGCUCGGCCGCGCGCUCCCGCCUGCUUCUCUCGGGGCUCCCGAGCGCUGCUCUGCCGGGGCCGCGGCUCCCGACUCCCGACCUCUUCCCGGGGGCGGGGCGGGCCGGAGGGAGGAGCGGGCGGAACUGCUGCCCCCGGGCGGCUGGUCGGGCCAGGCGCCUCCCCGCCCGCCCGCCCGCCGCGGCUCGGUUUGCGCUGAGUCAGCGGGGCCGCCGGAGGGGCCCCCGGGCAGGGGCAGGGGCCAGGACCCGGCCCGAAGGGGAGGCUCGGGCCCUGGGGGAGGGCUGACCCGGCCGACUUGCAGGCCCGGAGCCGCUCCCCAGUCUCAGGGCACGGCUGUGCCCGCGGCGCCGAUUCCUCGAGGGCCCGGGGCCCAGGAGCCGGGUCCGCCCCGGCGGGUCCGCCCGAGCGUCCGGGGAGGCGGCGGCGUCCAGACGGCAGGCGCGCGCCCGGGCUCUGCAGCUCCACCACCGUGGGCCGUUGUGAUCCUGGGCUCUUGUUUCCGUCUCUGAGCCACGGGCGAUAAAUGAGAUGAUGCCCGUGAAAGGUCGGGGGUCUUGCGAGGCUUCGGUAAAUGUGAACGGAGUGGACUCCCCGGGGCCGUCUUUCCUGCGUCCCUUUUCUCUCCCCCAAAGCGGGGCGUACAGCCCUGCUCGCCUCCGCAGGGACCAUCCAGAAGGCAAAUAGGACAAGACAAAAGUCCUUGUUCUUCCUGGACUUUUGAUGGGGCUUGAGUUCUCAAGGGGGCAGCGCACAACGUCCCCACCCCAAGAAGGGUAAAUUCCAGCUGAGACCCUCCCAGCCCUUCUCAGCUGUUGAUAAACAGGGAGGGGGUUGCCGCCUAAGGUGAAGCAGGGUCUCCCUUCUCCGUCUCGAAGCAGGGUGAGGGAAGUUACUUGGCCCACUCAGGCAGGCAGCUCCCCGGUGACUUUGCCCGGGGACGUUCUCAGCUGGCACCUAACGCUCCCGCCGCCCCACCCCAAGCCCCAUCCCGGGCAUCUCCCUGUCAGAGGUUCAUCUGAUUCUGUCGCUGCCGCAGAAACCGCGUCAGGCCUGGCCAGUGUUGGGGAAAGAGCAAUUGCAUAAAGGGAGGAUGUGGCCCCCACUCACCCCUCUGACUACUCCUGUCUGAUGAGAAAGUCCCAGGCACUGAUCUUAGAAAGUUCCAAGGCAAGGGCACAGGUACCGAUUAAUGAAUCAACAAACUCAGUGAGCACCCUCCCAUCUCCGGGCCUUCGUACUUGCUGCUUCCUCUGCCUGAAAGGUACUUCUUCAAGAUAUUCACAGCUAAGACUCACCACCUCACUCCCCCAAGGAGGUCGGAGAGAAGCCUGCGGUGACCACCGCACCUGAAACAAAGAUCCUCCAUUCUCUUCUCCCUCCCCUCUAUCACCACAGGAGCAAGGACUUUGCCAGGCACGACAGUAGGCGCUCAAUAAAUAUUAAUUGAAUAUAUGAAUGAGUUAAUUGUAUACCUACUCUGUACCCGCUGGCCUGGCUAAUGAGGGACAAAGGAGAAAGAGACAAAGUCCCCGUCAGGGGUAAGAUGCUUGGGUUUUAGGGUCAAAAUCUGCGUCCCCUUCAUUUCUGCUCCCUCCCCAGCCUCCCCAGUUCAGGCCCACAUCCUCCUCCUGUCUCUUCCCUUGCACCCCUGGUCCACCAUCCUCUCGCCAGCUCUAGGCCCAUCACCUCUAACGUGGAGGCCUGCGUAACAGCCUCCUGCUGGGCCACCCUGCCUCCACCCUCAGCCUCUGUCCUGCAGCUUCCCGUCCCCUCUCUCUGCAGGCCCACCCCUCUGCCCUCAGCUCCAGCUGCACGUGCCCGCUUGUGCCCUGGGCGGGAAGCUCUGUCCAGUCUCAGGGAUGCUGUGUUCACGGUUCCCUCUGUGUGACAGGCCUUCCCUGGGGGUCUGCUGGGCAGACUGUCACCUCUUCAAGGACCUCCCUUGAGUUCACCAGCCAGAGUAGCAUCCCACACACACUUGACCCUGUUACCUUCGUGUUUUCUUCCUUUCUUUUUUUUUUUGUAUAUAUUGUCUCAUUCAUUCCUUUUUUCUUUUUCUUUUUUAAAUUUAUUGAAAUAUAGUUGAUUUACAGUGUUGUGGGCCUUCGUAUUUUCUUGAUCCUUAGCUGACCUUCUCUAUUUGUCCGUUUCCCUCUCUGAAGUACAGCACACAGUUGAGUGCUAGGCCUGUCUCUCUUUCACCCCCGCGUGCCCGGUUCUAAGAGCAGGGACUGGGCCGUAAGGCUUGCGGAUUGAUGGAGCAGCCUCAGAUGCAUUCUGGGCGAAUCACUUCCCCUCCGUGAGCCUUGGUUUUCUGUCAAACGGGGAAACGCAUCCUUUGGGUGUUGCGAGGGUCGUGGGGGCAGUGACUCUGUCAACUGCGCCUGGCGCAGGGUGGGCACUGACCCCUGACCCCAGAGAAGCUUAGCUGAGGCAGGCUCCACUCUGCCACUAGGGAGGCCCCUGCCCCGGGUUUUUCUCCUUUGAGCACUUGGGGUGUGGGUUCUCGGGCCGACACGUGGGGAGACCCAGAGGCAAUAACGGGGAGUCUGCUAGGAGCUGCCUAGUUCACUGGGCAGUUUCAAAGCUGAUGAUUAGCUCUGCCUGCCCGAAGCCUGGACUCCUGGUCCCUCCAACUCUCCGUUCUUUGUGGACCCGCCCACUUGCCUCUCCCUGUUCCCUUCCCGUCCCCUCCCCACCUUCUCCCCAGCGCCCUGACUUCACCCACUGGGUCUUUCUCUUCUCCCAUCGCCCUCCUCAGGUUUCCUGAGUCCAGGCCGGUUCCAUCCCCUCCAGCCAGACCUCCACCCGCCCUUUGCCCCCUCUGCCUCAAGCUCUAGCCCUGCAUCCCGACCUCUUCCCAGUCGCCUGACUGCAGCAGAGACUUUGUGUAGGCAUUAUAGUGGCCCAGGGGCUUCCCCGCCUGCCCUGGGGCUUUGCUUCACAGUGCUUUGCUCUGGGCCAGGUGGGUAGCAGGUGUGAUGUUUAUGCUGCGGGUGAGGGUGUCGCCUCAGGGGACCCCACGGCACCAGUUCCCCACCAGGGCAAGGGCGGUGGGGAAGGGGACUGACCCGGUUGAAGGGAUGAAUGGAUGCAGCAGGGAUGUAGGUGGACUCAGAGGGUGUCCUUUCUGUAGGGUCUCCCCUUUCUACAGGCAAGGCCAUCCUGGAGAUGGGUGCCCCUCCAGGGCACCAGGACCUGCAGAUUUCCAGGCAGAGUUGGGGAGACUUCUAGCACCUUCUUUGCAGGCGUGGACCCUGGAGUUGUCAGCGCACUUUGAGACACUCCGUCCCUAGGCGAUGGUCCCCGUAACUAGGCACACCCAGGGCAGUUGUAGAGAGCAGACUGACAGCCCGUCCCUUCCCAAAAGGGGCCGGUGCUCUUCCUUAACCAGGGCACCCCGCCUGCCGGAUCAAAGGGUCCAGGAAGCAAAAUUAGACACCAGGAAUUGGUGGUGAGCACGGAAUGAUGACAAGAGAAGUUAAAAGCUGAGGCAGGGCUUUGCCUAGGCUCUGGGAAGCCCAGGAAAUACCCAUCACCCCGUUUAUUAGCUUUGACCUUUACAAGGAAGGCAUGCUGUCACAGGGGCCAGAGGAGUGAGAAGGGAGGGAGGGAUGGUCCCCCACAGGGGCGUGGAGGGCUGGUCAGAGGGGAUCCUCCAGGCCUGAACCAGCAGGGUCUGGGCGUCUGGCCACUUACCACCUCAGUCUGUAGACGUGUUAAAAGCAAAGAAGUGUUGUCAAUUCAAAAAUUGGGAGGUUUGGAACUUCCCUGGUGGUCCAGGGGUUGAGACUCUGCGCUUCCACUGCAGGGGCCACGGGCUCAAUCCGUGGUUGGGGAAUUAAGAUCCCGCAUGCCGCACGGGGUGGCCAAAAAAUUAAAAUAAAAUAAAUUGGGAGGUUUUACACUAGAUUCUGGAUUUAUUGGCUUCUCUUGAAAAUGAGACAGUUUGGACCCUGAGGGUCCCUUUUCUGCAUGGGAACAGUGGCCACUUUGGGUGACUGCCCUUUGCAUGGACUGUGCUCUGGGGAGCCCCCCAGUUUUACCGUCCCCCCGUUCUGUUCACUCUUCUGUGUUGCCUGCCUGGCCCUCGUAGGAUUUCCCUUUAUAAGCCCAGCUCUGUGUUGUGCUGGUAAAUAACCCAGCCAUGCUUUCAGGGUCUGUUUCCACGCUACCACCGCUGCCUUCCUGGCUGGCCCCAGUUUUUGUUCCCCGGAACUCUGCCCGCCCCCCCCCCCCCCCCCGCGCCCCAGACCAGUCUUUCCUGCCCAGAUUCCAGACCCUCCUGCUGCAGCCCUCACCCCGAUGGCAAUGAUCUCCCCCUUCUGGGUUCAGGUUCCCGGAGAAUCUCCUUAGUCGAGGAAAACGAGGCUGCUCGGUGUAAAGGGAAGCAGAUGGUCUGAGCACUGGUGAGUCUGGGGCUAGGGGCCCGUCCUGGUCCAGAAAAGCUGUAACCAAGGGCUGGGGGCAGGCAGCCUCCUGGGCGGCAGGGGCUUCGGGCAAGAGCGCAAUGAGGUGGGGGCUGUGCACUCGACAGAGAGCCCCUCCCUGGAGUCAUCGUGGCUCCCUCCAUAAGCCCCCUCCCCUGGAGUGCGCCGGGGGUGCACUGACCGGCCAGGCCUCUGAGACCGCGCUCUUUGCCAGCCUGCAAGCCGACCACCUCCUUUUCAUCUGGUAUCACUUUGUCGGUGGUGAGGGGACCCUUCCUCCUCUCUUCCAACUUUGCCCUGGAUGAUAUUUUGUCUCUGACCUUAUGAAUUGAUUUUUAAAAUACAUUUCAAGAAUUCUAAAUGCGACAUUCUCCAGCUCCUAUGUAUUUUCUGGAUAUUUAUGUGAUCCUCAAACUUUUCCAGUAAAUGACGCCCCCGUCUUUUGUUUUGUUGGACCCCAGUUCCGAGCCCAGCCAACCAUUCUCAGAUCACAGCACGCGGGCAUCCUUGAAUCCAGGUCCUCCUGAAGUUUAUUUUCCGUUUUUCGUUCGCCCAGUGGUACCACCUCUAAUGUGUUUGAUGUAUAUCCUUAACCAUUGUGUAUCCUUGUAUGUGUGUGUGUGUGUGUGUGUGUGUGUGUGUGUGUGUGAUUUUUGCUUUCCUAAGUGGCAUUAUGCUAUAAAUCUUGUUCUGUUUCCUACUAUUCUCACCCAACAGCAUGAUUUGAGGCCACCCCUGUUGGUAUAUGUGUAAAUCUAAUUCAGUGUUUUACACAUGAUAGGUUGGGUCCCAGUAGCGGCUGGUGAGAUCAAUUUGACAGGGGCAUAAUCACCACUUAUAAUAAAUGAAUACAAUGUAAUAGGCAAUAUCAGAGUGCCUCAAACAUAAUUAGGGUAAAUGUUGUUUCAUGAAUUUUUUUUCAAAAAGAGAUAGAUACAGGUUGCAAAGUAAAAAGUAUUUCUUAGGUGGGUCCCAGGAAAGUUUGAACGGGCUGGUUCAUUGCUUCUUUUUUUCUUUUUUUUUUGCGGUACGUGG